rnacentral:rRNA from 1 species
AUUGAACGCUGGCGGCAUGCCUUACACAUGCAAGUCGAACGGCAGCACGGGUGCUUGCACCUGGUGGCGAGUGGCGAACGGGUGAGUAAUACAUCGGAACAUGUCCUGUAGUGGGGGAUAGCCCGGCGAAAGCCGGAUUAAUACCGCAUACGAUCUACGGAUGAAAGCGGGGGACCUUCGGGCCUCGCGCUAUAGGGUUGGCCGAUGGCUGAUUAGCUAGUUGGUGGGGUAAAGGCCUACCAAGGGGACGCUCAGUAGCUGGUCUGAGAGGACGACCAGCCACACUGGGACUGAGACACGGCCCAGACUCCUACGGGAGGCAGCAGUGGGGAAUUUUGGACAAUGGGCGAAAGCCUGAUCCAGCAAUGCCGCGUGUGUGAAGAAGGCCUUCGGGUUGUAAAGCACUUUUGUCCGGAAAGAAAUCCUUGGCCCUAAUACGGUCGGGGGAUGACGGUACCGGAAGAAUAAGCACCGGCUAACUACGUG